rnacentral:rRNA from 1 species
GACGAACGCUGGCGGCGUGCUUAACACAUGCAAGUCGAACGGUGAAGCGCCUUCCUUUUUGGUGGGUGUGGAUGAGUGGCGAACGGGUGAGUAACACGUGAGUAACCUGCCCCCUUCUUCUGGAUAACCGCAUGAAAGUGUGGCUAAUACGGGAUAUUCUGGGUCUGUCGCAUGAUGGGUCUGGGAAAGAUAUUGUUUCGGUGGGGGAUGGGCUCGCGGCCUAUCAGCUUGUUGGUGGGGUGAUGGCCUACCAAGGCGGUGACGGGUAGCCGGCCUGAGAGGGUGGACGGUCACACUGGAACUGAGACACGGCCCAGACUCCUACGGGAGGCAGCAGUGGGGAAUAUUGCACAAUGGGCGAAAGCCUGAUGCAGCGACGCCGCGUGAGGGAUGGAGGCCUUCGGGUUGUGAACCUCUUUCGCCAGUGAAGCAGGCCUGCCUCGUUUGUGGGUGGGUUGACGGUAGCUGGAGAAGAAGCGCCGGCUAACUACGUG